rnacentral:rRNA from 1 species
AAUAGUAAAGUGGCGAACGGGUGAGUAACGCGUAAAUAACUUGCCUUGGAGAUUGGGACAACAUUGGGAAACCAGUGCUAAUACCAAAUAAUGCAGCGGGCCCUUCGGGGCAUAGUUGUUAAAGUAGGCUUCGGCUUACACUUCAAGAUAGAUUUGCGUCCGAUUAGUUAGUUGGUAGGGUAAUAGCCUACCAAGACUGAGAUCGGUAGCUGGUCUGAGAGGAUGAUCAGCCACACUGGAAUUGAGAUACGGUCCAGACUCCUACGGGAGGCAGCAGUGAGGAAUUUUGCACAAUGGGCGAAAGCCUGAUGCAGCAACACCGCGUGAUUGAUGAAGUUUUUAGGAAUGUAAAAAUCUGUCGUAAGGGAAGAAAUGUUUCGGAUGUUAAUACCAUCUGUUACUGACGGUACCUUACAAGAAAGGACCGGCUAACUUCGUGCCAGCAGCCGCGGUAAUACGAGGGGUCCUAGCGUUGUCCGGAUUUACUGGGCGUAAAGGGUACGUAGGCGUUUUAAUAAGUUGUAUGUUAAAUAUCUUAGCUUAACUAAGAAAGUGCAUACAAAACUGUUAAGAUAGAGUUUGAGAGAGGAACGCAGAAUUCAUGGUGGAGCGGUGACAUGCGUAGAUAUCAUGAGGAAAGUCAAAUGCGAAGGCAGCCUUCUGGCUCAAAACUGACGCUGAGGUACGAAAGCGUGGGGAGCGAACAGGAUUAGAUACCCUGGUAGUCCACGCCGUAAACGAUGAGUAUUUGGUGCUGGGGGAUUCGACCCUUUCAGUGCCGUAGCUAACGCGAUAAUACUCCGCCUGGGA